rnacentral:tRNA from 1 species
GCGCGAGUGGCGAAAUUGGCAGACGCGCCAGAUUUAGGUUCUGGUGUCCACGGACGUGGGGGUUCAAGUCCCCCCUCGCGCACAA